AUUGAACGUUGGCGGCAUGCUUUACACAUGCAAGUCGAACGGCAGCGCGGGCUUCGGCCUGGCGGCGAGUGGCGAACGGGUGAGUAAUGCAUCGGAACGUGCCCAGUAGUGGGGGAUAGCCCGGCGAAAGCCGGAUUAAUACCGCAUACGACCUGAGGGUGAAAGCGGGGGACCGAAAGGCCUCGCGCUAUUGGAGCGGCCGAUGUCGGAUUAGCUAGUUGGUGGGGUAAAGGCUUACCAAGGUGACGAUCCGUAGCUGGUCUGAGAAGACGACCAGCCACACUGGGACUGAGACACGGCCCAGACUCCUACGGGAGGCAGCAGUGGGGAAUUUUGGACAAUGGGGGCAACCCUGAUCCAGCCAUGCCGCGUGCGGGAAGAAGGCCUUCGGGUUGUAAACCGCUUUUGUUCGGGAAGAAAUCCUCUGGGCUAAUACCCCGGGGGGAUGACGGUACCGGAAGAAUAAGCACCGGCUAACUACGUG
rnacentral:rRNA from 1 species